UAGUUUAUUUCAUUUCAGCCCCUUUUUCCACUCUAUCUGUGUAUUUCGAGCCUACCCUUCCUCAUAGGUGCCUUCUGCUCGUCUUCCAUUGGUCACAAGAGUUGCCUUCUGCUUGUCUUCAAAUCUGCUUCCUUUCCUGUGCAAGCAUCAUUCCACAAUUGCCUUCUGGUCAUCUUCCAUCUAUCCCCGUCACAACUCCUAUUCCGAAUGGGUUUUGGAUUGAGCAAGCAAAUGAGCUCUAUCAAAAUAACUAGUCUGUAAUAUUCAACUUUCUUCAUUGUUGGACUAUUCUAAGGCACUAUCCAAAAUGAAAACAAACUGUGGCUGAGGGCAGUGUGAAAAUUAAGAGAAGAUCAGUAACCUCAGAUGCUCAUGUGCUAGAGUUUAUAUCUAUAGAUGAAGACACCAUAUCUCCUUCUAUAGAUGUGAAUCUGGAGAGAUCCAUUGGAAAGAAGACUGAAAAUAAGCAAAAGAGGCAAGAUAGUACCUCUUUCAAUCUUGUUGAUUUGGUGAUUGAAAUGAUAGAGGAGAAUAAGAGAGCAAAUGCUGAGAAGGGAGAAGUUAGGAAAGAACUCAUCUGCUUUACAAAAGAUAGGCUUGAUUUAGAUUAACGGAGAGAAGAUAAGGAAAUUAUGAGGAUGGACAUCUCAAGUUUGCCUCCAAUGCAGCAAGAGUAUUUUCGUAACCUCCAAUUUGAAAUACUUGAGAAGCAAAGGUCUACAAAAUCAUGACUGGGUGGUGUAUGGGCUAUAAAUGAACAUUUUUUGAAAGGUAAUAAUGCAGCCAUUUUUGGGAAUGCUCAUGUGAUAGUUUUUGUAUAGAACAUAAUACAAACUUGAAGCCACAAAUUUAGCCAUAUUUGGAAGUUUUUUUGAUAGUUUUUUUUAUAGGACUAAGCACAAACCUGAAGUCAAUAUAGCCAGUGGAUAGUCCAAAUUUUCUUUUGCAUAGAAUAUAAUACAGUUCGCACACUAAACUGUCUUAAUAGUCUAAUAUGUUCUUUGUUAGGAAAAUUAUGAUGGUGAGACACUAAAGUAUAGUUGUGAAUAAUUUAAGAGUAUUAUGUGAAUGAAUGAGUAUGAAUGAUUAUUAUGUGAAUGGAUGAGUUAGAGUCUAAACUUACUUGAUUAUGGAGUUUGCUUUAAUCACUAUGUUCAGGAUAUGACAAUAUGAACUUAUUGAUGAAAAUUCUUACAUUCAACUUUCUUCCACAUUGGAUAUUACCUUCGUGAGAAUCUAUACAUGUUUGUGAGAAUGUAUUUUUGUGGAA